GACGAACGCUGGCGGCGUGCUUAACACAUGCAAGUCGAACGCUGAAGCUCCCAGCUUGCUGGGGGUGGAUGAGUGGCGAACGGGUGAGUAACACGUGAGUAACCUGCCCCGAACUCUGGGAUAAGCGCUGGAAACGGCGUCUAAUACUGGAUAUGUCCUAUCACCGCAUGGUGUGUAGGUGGAAAGAAUUUUGGUUCGGGAUGGACUCGCGGCCUAUCAGCUAGAUGGUGAGGUAAUGGCUCACCAUGGCGACGACGGGUAGCCGGCCUGAGAGGGUGACCGGCCACACUAGGACUGAGACACGGACCAGAGUCCUACGGGAGGCAGCAGUGGGGAAUAUUGCACAAUGGGCGCAAGCCUGAUGCAGCAACGCCGCGUGAGGGAUGACGGCCUUCGGGUUGUAAACCUCUUUUAGUAGGGAAGAAGCGCAAGUGACGGUACCUGCAGAAAAAGCACCGGCUAACUACGUGUCAGCCGCCGCCGUAA
rnacentral:rRNA from 1 species